CAGGGAGAGGCGGAGUUCCUAUAGGAUGUAAGAGGAGAAUGGGAUACACGGGAGCGUGCCUACGCAUCCCUCAAAGACGUCACUCUCUCUGGGAGCCAAAAGAUUUCAGUUGUGUGAAGCAUCACAGCUUCCUCUGCAAUGCACGGUGAAGCAGCAGUGGCUGCUGCUGGUCCUGAUCUGCAGGUCCUGCUGCUCUUGAGGAGCCGUUCCACCAUGGGGCCUUAUGGCUGGAGGUGUGCCAUGUAUGGAAGGGCUGAGGAAGCCUGGCUGGGUUUGGGCAGAGCUCCCACUUUUCUCAGGAGAGGAAGACAGCUUCACAGUGCACUGCAGAAAUUUAGCAGUCCCACACUCCCAUGGCAAAGAUACAUGAAAGACGUUUGUAAUAUAAAGCAUUGCCUUCAAGGACAGUUCCCAUCUACACGGCUGCCAUGGCACCACAGGACGUUGUUAGGAGCUGAAGGUCUUGCCCAAGAAAUCAGUAAACAUCCAAACCAAACAAGCAUAACACACUCUUUGAUGAAGCGCAUUAUUCUUGCCUCUUCAGUUAGUGGCCUUCACCUUCACUGAUGGCAAAUGCUUGCCGACAAUCACUGCAGGCAGAGCUUCAACAAAAGGAUGGAAAUCAUAAUGCUAGCUGGAAGCAGCAAUGAGUUGCUGCACUGUGUCUGAUUUUAAGCAGGGAAAUGGAUUUGAUUUUUAUAGACAUCUUUUGCACUUCAGAAAAGUACUGUUAUUGCAGACACCAAACUGAGUAAGAAAUAGCAGUUCUGCUGCCAGUGCAGACAAAACACUCCCCAAAGCCUGUUAUUAAUAUAAAAGCUGUGGCAUUGCUGAUGAGAUAAAAAAAAAACAAAACAAAAAGAAAACAGUCAGGAAGAACCUUUAGCCAUUUUCAUAAAAAAAAUAAAAAAAAAAAAUUCUGGUUGCAUUCCAGGAUGAAAGAGAAGUGGAGAUGAGACUGGGUUUGCACCAGGCUGAUAACACAAAUGCACCACCAUGAAAUGUUGAUGGAGUAAUUAAGCCAAAUGCCAACAGUGCUGUCCAUGCUGAUGGAAAAUGGGAUGUGCCACUGCCUUCUGGAGUCAGAGGUCUGAGACCUGCACAGCUGGGGACUGAAAGCAGGAGGGUGCUAUUACUGUUCUCAAAAGCAGUAGAACUUCACUGAGGCUUCGAGAAAUUAGUUUAGAAACACUCCAGAACUAUAUUUCAACACUUUCUUGCCCAUAAGACCCAGAGCCUCAGAACUAGCAGAAACUUAAAAAUUAGAAACAGAAGAAAAAACAAACAAACAAACAAAAAAAACCCCACAAAAAUAAACCAACAAACCAAAAAUGUGAAGGAGAUGUGGGAGGCUGGCUGAUGAAUAAAAGAACCGCCCUCCUCAAAAGGUGCAAAACAAAUUGUAUUUUAAGAAGCUGAAAAUGCAGAAGCCCAUACAACAAACCCAUGGAGAAAAGAUGCCUGAAAUUUGAUUGAAUCUAUGAAAAGUAUACUUUCUUCUUUUUUAAAUACAAGUUGGGUUUGGGAUAGACUUGCCACGUCAGAUUUUUUUUUCCCAUCAUGUAGGUAUUUGUUAAUCUGUUACUGUGCUUUGGAUGGGUUCUUUCUUCUAUAGUAGUUUUUUUUUUUAACAAUUACAAUUACAGUGAUGUCUACAAAAAAUUCUGUACUAAAAAUAUGGUACUAAAGUUUAUUUCUUAUCUAUAGUGGAAGGUUUGCUAUAAGAAUUUCCAUUACAGAAUUGAUUUACAAGAAGUGAAAUUAUUUUACCUAUUUUUAUGCAGUAUUUUUUCUUAUGUUCAGCCUUGUCAAAAAUAAAAGAAAACGUCCAUCUUUCCUCUUUAAAUAUAGUCUAAUAGCACUAACUGAAUCAAAAUAACUACCUGAGACCUUACUUUUAGUCAAAUUUGUAGAACUCAAAUUCAAUUUACAAUCACAAAAGAAUGGAGUAUUUGAUCCUGGAUUUUGCACCCUCAUAUUUCUGCUUGCAGGUCAGACUCAACUGUUAAUUCUUUUUCAGAAGCAUUUAAAACCCCAAGUCUGAAAUUAUUGGCAUUACUAGUUUAAGUGUGUAAAGAAUUGGAGCUUCUGAAGAAAAAAAUGAAUUGGUAACCUGUGAAGAAAAAUAUAUUUAAACUACAAAUGCAGAAAAACUUCCAAGAGUGCUGCUGCUUUUUUUUGUUUGUUUGUUUAUGUAUUUGUUUUUUCCAGAACACAUUUUUCUAGCCAAAAAGAGAAAAUACCACAAUUAUUAAAGUUCUUUUUAGAAUUUUACCUGAAAAUCCUGAUUUUAUUUUUAAUCAGAAUUUUGAUAAAACAGAGGCUUAGUUCUCCCUAUCAUACAAUUUUAAAUAUUUCAGAAGAUAAAGAAACAAUGACUUCAGCUCUAUUCCUUGACUUUUUUAUAGUUUGUAAAACCCUUGCAAAGAUGAAAUAGUGAAUGAGAAAACUUCAAAACAUUAAAUACUCUUUAAACCAACAAUCAAGAAAAAAUAUAAUUGUUCUUUUUUUCUUUUUAAGACUCUAUAAAUACAUUCAUAGUGUGUUGGAAUUACAGCCUUAUUUCUAUUUUCUUCAUGGCAAUAGGGUAUGACCAAUAGGCAGAAAUAAGUCUUUUCAGAAAUAAGUCUUCCUUUUUGCUGUUGGACUUGAUCUUUGCAGUUGGACUUCAUGAUUUUGAAGGUCUUUUCCAACCUGAUUUGGUUGGAAAUCAGGUUGAAAAUCUAUGAUUUUUCUACAUUAAUAAGAAUUCAUUGCAACUACCACUACUACACGAUGAAAUUCAAAGAUAAUUUUCAUAGUUUUAUGAUUUAGUUUAAUCAUUUAUCUCUUUCAGGAUACAUAUAUAAUAUUUUGAGAGGUUUUAUUUCAAUCUAAACAUUUUUUAUACAAUUCAAUAAAUGUGAUAAGGUACCAAUACAUCUUCAUGGAGCAAUUUUUCUGUUGAUAAAAAUCACUGCAAUUCUACCACAUAGGCAAUUCAGUAUAAAAAGUCAAAAGAAUAUGCGUAGGUUUUUGGGGGAAAAAAAGAAAGUAUUUAAUUAGCAAGUUUUUGCAUCUAACUGUGUAAUACAGAAAUUGUAAAUACAACUACUUUCCAAAGAACUAAAAUCUGAGAUGUUUAUAAAAUGCACAAUAAUUUGU
ensembl:lncRNA